UACGGGGGGAGCAAGCGUUGUUCGGAUUUACUGGGCGUAAAGGGCGCGUAGGCGGCCACCGCAAGUCGAUUGUGAAAUCUCCGGGCUUAACCCGGAAAGGUCAACCGAUACUGCGGGGCUAGAGUGCAGAAGGGGCAACUGGAAUUCUCGGUGUAGCGGUGAAAUGCGUAGAUAUCGAGAGGAACACCUGCGGCGAAGGCGGGUUGCUGGGCUGACACUGACGCUGAUGCGCGAAAGCGUGGGGAGCAAACAGG
rnacentral:rRNA from 1 species